GUGAGGAAUAUUGCGCAAUGGAGGCAACUCUGACGCAGCCAUGCCGCGUGCAGGAAGAAGGCGCUACGCGUUGUAAACUGCUUUUAACCGGGAAGAAACCCCAGGACGUGUCCUGGGUUGACGGUACCGGAGGAAUAAGCACCGGCUAACUUCGUGCCAGCAGCCGCGGUAAUACGAAGGGUGCAAGCGUUAUCCGGAUUCAUUGGGUUUAAAGGGUGCGUAGGCGGAGCGUUAAGUCAGUGGUGAAAUCCUGCAGCUUAACUGUAGACUUGCCAUUGAUACUGGCGCUCUUGAGUGCGCUUGAAGUGGGCGGAAUGUGCCGUGUAGCGGUGAAAUGCUUAGAUAUGGCACAGAACACCAAUUGCGAAGGCAGCUCACUAAGGCGAUACUGACGCUGAGGCACGAAAGCGUGGGGAUCGAACAGGAUUAGAAAACCCAGUAGUCC
rnacentral:rRNA from 1 species